rnacentral:rRNA from 1 species
UGUACCCUACGGGAGGCAGCAGUGAGGAAUAUUGGUCAAUGGGCGGAAGCCUGAACCAGCCAAGUCGCGUGAGGGAAUAAGGCCCUACGGGUCGUAAACCUCUUUUGCCGGGGAGCAAGGGCCGGGACGCGUCCCGGCCCGGAGAGUACCCGGAGAAAAAGCAUCGGCUAACCCCGCGCCAGCAGCCGCGGUAACACGGAGGAUGCGAGCGUUAUCCGGAUUUAUUGGGUUUAAAGGGUGCGUAGGCGGGCUUUUAAGUCAGCGGUAAAAAUUCGGGGCUCAACCCCGUCCGGCCGUUGAAACUG